rnacentral:rRNA from 1 species
CCUACGGGAGGCAGCAGUGAGGAAUAUUGGUCAAUGGACGAGAGUCUGAACCAGCCAAGUAGCGUGAAGGAUGACUGCCCUAUGGGUUGUAAACUUCUUUUAUAUGGGAAUAAAAUGUUCCACGUGUGGGAUUUUGUAUGUACCAUAUGAAUAAGGAUCGGCUAACUCCGUGCCAGCCGCCGCGGUAAUACGGAGGAUCCGAGCGUUAUCCGGAUUUAUUGGGUUUAAAGGGAGCGUAGGUGGAUUGUUAAGUCAGUUGUGAAAGUUUGCGGCUCAACCGUAAAAUUGCAGUUGAAACUGGCAGUCUUGAGUACAGUAGAGGUGGGCGGAAUUCGUGGUGUAGCGGUGAAAUGCUUAGAUAUCACGAAGAACUCCGAUUGCGAAGGCAGGUGUCCGGGGUGCAACUGACGCUGAGGCUCGAAAGUGCGGGUAUCAAACAGGAUUAGAUACCCGAGUAGUC